rnacentral:rRNA from 1 species
GCAGUCGAUGGCAGCACAGUGUAGCAUACAUGGGUGGCGAGUGGCGCACGGGUGCGUAACACGUAUGCAAUUUACCCAUAACUGGGGGAUAGCCCUCCGAAAGGAGGAUUAAUACCCCAUAACCCAGCGAAGUGGCAUCACUUUUCUGGUAAAUCUCCGGAGGUUAUGGAUGAGCAUGCGUCCGAUUAGCUAGUUGGUGAGGUAACGGCUCACCAAGGCAACGAUCGGUAGGGGGUCUGAGAGGAUGAUCCCCCACACGGGUACUGAGACACGGACCCGACUCCUACGGGAGGCAGCAGUAAGGAAUAUUGGACAAUGGAGGCAACUCUGAUCCAGCCAUGCCGCGUGAAGGAUGAAGGCGCUACGCGUUGUAAACUUCUUUUCUCUUAGAAAAAACUACUGGUUUCGUACCGGUACUGAUUGUACAAGAGGAAUAAGCAUCGGCUAACUUCGUGCCAGCAGCCGCGGUAAUACGAAGGAUGCAAGCGUUAUCCGGAUUCACUGGGUUUAAGGGUGUGCAGGUGGGGUAAUAAGUCAGUGGUGAAAGCCCCCGACUCAAUCGGGGAACUGCCAUAGAUACUGUUAUUCUUGAGUGUGGUUGAGGCGGAUGGAAUAUGACAUGUAGCGGUGAAAUGCUUAGAUAUGUCAUAGAACACCAAUCGCGAAGGCAGUCCGCCAAACCAUUACUGACACUGAAACACGAAAGUGCGGGGAUCAAACAGGAUU